rnacentral:rRNA from 1 species
UACCAUGCUGAAUAUACCGGUUCUCGUUAGAUCACCGAAGUUAAGCAUUAUUGGGCGCGGUCAGUACUUGGGUGGGUGACCACCUGGGAACACUGCGUGCCGUU